GAGGAAGGUGGGUAUGUUAAUAGCAUACUCAUUUUGACGUUAGCUGCAGAAGAAGCACCGGCUUAACUCCGUGCCAGCAGCCGCGGUAAUACGGAGGGUGCGAGCGUUAAUCGGAAUUACUGGGCGUAAAGCGCAUGCAGGUGGUUUGUUAAGUCAGAUGUGAAAGCCCGGGGCUCAACCUCGGAAUUGCAUUUGAAACUGGCAAACUAGAGUACUGUAGAGGGGGUAGAAUUUCAGGUGUAGCGGUGAAAUGCGUAGAGAUCUGAAGGAAUACCGGUGGCGAAGGCGGCCCCCCUGGACAGAUACUGACACUCAGAUGCGAAAGCGUGGGGAGCAAACAGGAUUAGAUACCCUGGUAG
rnacentral:rRNA from 1 species